UACGAAGGGUGCAAACGUUGCUCGGAAUCAUUGGGCGUAAAGCGCACGUAGGCGGCCCGAUAAGUCGGAUGUGAAAUCCCUCGGCUCAACCGAGGACGUGCAUUCGAAACUGUCGGGCUCGAGUAUGGAAGAGGGUCGCGGAAUUCCCGGUGUAGAGGUGAAAUUCGUAGAUAUUCGCAAGAACACCAGUGGCGAAGGCGGCUCACUGGCCCGAUACUGACGCUGAGGCACGAAAGCGUGGGGAGCAAACAGGG
rnacentral:rRNA from 1 species